GGUGCUGUGGCUCAGAUGGUCAAAGUGCCCGUCUCGUAAACAGGAGAUCCUAGGUUCGAAUCCCAGCAGUGCCU